CAACCUGCCGAUGACUCGGGGAUAGCCUUUCGAAAGAAAGAUUAAUACCCGAUGGCAUAGUUCUUCCGCAUGGUGGAACUAUUAAAGAAUUUCGGUCAUCGAUGGGGAUGCGUUCCAUUAGGUUGUUGGCGGGGUAACGGCCCACCAAGCCUUCGAUGGAUAGGGGUUCUGAGAGGAAGGUCCCCCACAUUGGAACUGAGACACGGUCCAAACUCCUACGGGAGGCAGCAGUGAGGAAUAUUGGUCAAUGGACGAGAGUCUGAACCAGCCAAGUAGCGUGAAGGAUGACUGCCCUAUGGGUUGUAAACUUCUUUUAUACGGGAAUAAAGUGAGGCACGCGUGCCUUUUUGUAUGUACCGUAUGAAUAAGGAUCGGCUAACUCCGUGCCAGCAGCCGCGGUAAUACGGAGGAUCCGAGCGUUAUCCGGAUUUAUUGGGUUUAAAGGGAGCGUAGGCGGACGCUUAAGUCAGUUGUGAAAGUUUGCGGCUCAACCGUAAAAUUGCAGUUGAUACUGGGUGUCUUGAGUACAGUAGAGGCAGGCGGAAUUCGUGGUGUAGCGGUGAAAUGCUUAGAUAUCACGAAGAACUCCGAUUG
rnacentral:rRNA from 1 species